GGUUUUAUAUUCAAAAUGAUUUUAAAUUGCAAAUUUAAAGGUGAAUAUUAAUAUUCUAAAACUU
rnacentral:tRNA from 1 species